ensembl:lncRNA
AUGUGUUUGUUCCCAUACAGAUUGCAUUUUUCCUUUUUAAAGAUAAGUGGAUUUGAUGCAUUUAGUUUUGCUGGUAUGUUGUGUGAUAAUUUAACUGAUCUCUUACUGUCUUUUCAGGCUGAAACUAUGAAAAUCAAUGCAUCAAACAUGUUUCUCCAAGGCCAAAUAAAAGAAGUUGAAGGACAUAUCACAGGAAUUUUAGGUAAACUGAGUAUCACUCAGGAAAAUCAAAGUGUGGAUGCUUCCAACAGGAAUAGGAUCCCAAACUUCAUGAAGCUCAUAAACUUGUUAAGUGUGGAAAUGGCAGGACACUUCGGGAACUCAGGCAGUCUGGCCAAGGAACACAGUAUAUCUGCUACAGAUACCCCCCAAGGCACUUAAUUAAAACUCCCAGAAGGCAACAUCUGCAUGAAAACAAUUUCACUUUUGGUGAGACUGGAAAUUUCAGCUUUCUGAUGGAUUUUUUUUUUCUUUCCUUGGUAAAAGUCUAUUCUCUAGUGUAUGUGUAAACAGACCCCAUGGAUUGCAUUAUAAACUUGCAAAUUUCCUUUAUAAAUAAUGUCUCUGUGGUGUUCUCACCAUGUCUAACAUAAAGAAGUGUCAGAAUUGUAAUGGCGAUCACUUGUGUAUGCAUGCUUUAGCAGCUUAAGGGUAAAUAGCAUAUGCCUUUCUAUGUCAUUGAAAUGAGUAACAUGUAGUAGAAUUGGCAAUUGCCAAGUAGUAGCAAUAUUGUGUGAUGGUGAUCCACUUGCUAAUUCAAAUGUAUUAUGGGGGCAGAAAAAAAAAAGAAAAAAAAGAAAUGAACCUCCACAGGCAAAGUAAUUACUAAAUAGUAUUUGGACCAUUAUACUUCAAACUGCUGGGUUAAAGUACUAUUCACAAGUAGUGGCCAUUUUUCCUGUUCUCUUCUGCUAUUCCUGCCCUUAGCAGUUCUUAUUAUUGACCUGGGAGUGAGCACAAUUAAAAUCUUUUUUCCAGUUCUUUCCCAUACUCAUCUUUAAACUUGAUGGGAAUUCUUAGUAUUGAAUAUGCCAGUCAGAGAAGUUAAUCGUCCACCCCAGGCUUUAGAACAUCAUAUUUGCUGAAAAUGAAAGGAGAGUAAUUUAAAUAGCAGUAAUGAUUUCAAAGUGUCUCCAUUUCAUGUCAUGGCUAGCAUCGCCUGCUAUUAGAGGUCCCUGAACCCCAAUUUCAUACUGGUUACAAUAAAUCACGCUCUUACGGUAAAGAGAGAAAGAGCAGCCACUUAAAGAGGACAAUGUAAAAGCCUCAAAGGGAAAAAAUUCUGUGGUUGGCAUUGAGGUCCCUCAGGGAAGGGAAGAAAUAUGGGAAAUGUAUUGACUUCUUACUAAUGUAUGUACAUGCUUAGCCAGAAAUGAGUAGGGAUGAAAACAUUACUAAUCAGUAAAAAAUAAAACAUUAACAGUGGCAGAAGGAGAUUCUAAAGGAUCUGUUUAUACUCUCUGGCACUUCCUACAAGAGGUUUUGUAAGGGACGGACACUAAAUAAAAUGGAAGGACCAUGCUGUAACACAUGUAAAUCUGAGAAAAGCCUGAGCAUUCACUGUGGAUCUGCAUGACCACAGAAAUAAUGUUAGAAAUAAUCAAUGUGUUUGAAAAAUAUGCUAGUUUAUGCACUCAAUUAUUUCUUUGGUCUAUUAUUUUGCUGUUAAAGCAGAGAUCUGCUGAGUUCAACAAGUGACAAGCACCCAUACUGCAGAUACUAAUAAUGUACGAUUAAAUAAAUGAAAUACUUAGCAGGGUAGAUCCUCUACCUCCUUUCUCACAUGAAUGGUUUUUAGGUGUGCUAUCCACGUGGCUGGGACUUGCACAGUUAGACUUUGCAUUCAUGAAAAUGUUCCCCUUCCAAUAUUUGUUUGUAUGUAUCUGGUAAACCACAUUAAGUGUAAAAGCAAGAAGAUAGUUUAUUAUAAUUC